rnacentral:tRNA from 1 species
CGGGACGUGGUGUAACGGCUAACAUUCUCGGUUUGGGACCGAGCGAUUCCGGGUUCGAAUCCCGGCGUCCCGACUA